AACGAACGCUGGCGGCGUGCCUAACACAUGCAAGUCGAGCGCGAAAGGAGCAAUCCGAGUAGAGCGGUGCACGGGUGCGUAACACGUGGAUAAUCCGCCUCAGGGUUGAGGAUAACCUUCCGGAAGGUUGGCUAAUACUCGGUAAGCUUACGGUGACUUCGGUCGCUGUGAGAAAACUAGACCUCUAUUUAUAAGUUUAGGCCCAGAGAUGAGUCCGCGGCCCAUCAGCUAGUUGGCGGGGUAACGGCCCACCAAGGCUACGACGGGUAGCUGGUCUGAGAGGACGAUCAGCCACACUGGAACUGAGACACGGUCCAGACUCCUACGGGAGGCAGCAGUGGGGAAUUUUCCACAAUGGGCGAAAGCCUGAUGGAGCAACGCCGCGUGUGUGAUGAAGGUCUUCGGAUCGUAAAGCACUUUCGACUGGGACGAAAAACCUUUGGCUAACAUCCAGGGGCCUGACGGUACCAGGAGAAGAAGCACCGGCUAACUCUGUGCCAGCAGCCGCCGUAACAC
rnacentral:rRNA from 1 species